rnacentral:misc_RNA from 1 species
AACUUUCGGCAAUGGAUCUCUUGGCUCUCGCAUCGAUGAAGAACGCAGCGAAAUGCGAUAAGUAAUGUGAAUUGCAGAAUUCAGUGAAUUAUCGAAUUUUUGAACGCACCUUUCGCUCCCUGGUAUUCCGGGGAGCACGCCUGUUCGAGUGUCGUGAAAAUCUCAAACCGGGAUGCGUUUUGUUGUUUCUCGGCUUGGUGUUGUGCUUUGCAGUUCCUUCGGUUCGGAUGGCUUGCCUCAAAAGCAUUAGUUGGGUUUUAAUGUGGCAUUGGUUCUACUCAGCGUGAUAAUGAUCUGACCGCCGCGGACGUCUUUGUGAAUAGCAAAUUCUCAUUUGGGCUGCUUCUAAUUUUCGUUGAGCAGAGUCUGAAUCUGCUCCCCUUUUCCGCUUUUGACCUCGAAUCAGGUGGGACUACCCGCUGAACUUAAGCAUAUCAAUAAGCGGAGGCU